UCUUAUCAAGAGCGGCUGAGGGGACAGGACCAUUGAAGCCCGGCAACCUGUAAUUUUCCGUUAUCGUUACAAGGUGCUACUUCCUGCUGCGCUGUCUUUUCGGACAGGGCAGAAAGAUGAGA
rnacentral:ncRNA from 1 species